rnacentral:rRNA from 1 species
GAUGAACGCUGGCUACAGGCUUAACACAUGCAAGUCGAGGGGAAACGACAUCGAAAGCUUGCUUUUGAUGGGCGUCGACCGGCGCACGGGUGAGUAACGCGUAUCCAACCUGCCCAUCACUUGGGAAUAACCUUGCGAAAGUAAGACUAAUACCCAAUGAUAUCCCACGAAGGCAUCGGAAUGGGAUUAAAGAUUUAUCGGUGAUGGAUGGGGAUGCGUCUGAUUAGCUUGUUGGCGGGGUAACGGCCCACCAAGGCAACGAUCAGUAGGGGUUCUGAGAGGAAGGUCCCCCACAUUGGAACUGAGACACGGUCCAAACUCCUACGGGAGGCAGCAGUGAGGAAUAUUGGUCAAUGGGCGAGAGCCUGAACCAGCCAAGUAGCGUGCAGGAAGACGGCCCUAUGGGUUGUAAACUGCUUUUAUAAGGGAAUAAAGUGGGUCACGUGUGACUUUUUGCAUGUACCUUAUGAAUAAGGACCGGCUAAUUCCGUG